rnacentral:lncRNA from 1 species
AACCCGAGGCCCGGCCUGGGGCGCGGCUGCUGGGCGCUAGGCCCGCGACGCUGAGGUGCGCGCGCCCCGGGCGGGAGGAGGGGCUGCACCGCCUGGCGAAUGGGAGGGGGACUGGCAGGCUCUCCCUUCCCAAGGGAGGUCGUCCUGUCGCCCUAGACUAAACCCAGGAAGGCUUUUAAAAGAAGCAGAGUCUCCGCGGGGGGAAGCUUGUUCCCUGAGAGGUGGCCGCAGACGAACCCACUGCUCAGUCUGGCAUCCCGAAGCCGCUCCGCUCCUGGCUCUCCCCGCUGUUCCUGCGCGCAGCGGGGGCAGUGCCCCCACACCCACGCGUGAUGGGAAGGCCGGCCUGGGGGUGGGAAGGCCCACCGAAAUAGAUGGUCCCCACACCUCACUGCUUCCUUGGAUGUGGCUAUUUUUUAUGCCAGUGUUCUCCUGCUCUGACCCUACUUGAACUUGACCGCAACCGGCCCCGCCUUGCAGGCCACCCUCCCGCAGCAGAAAACUGUGCGGAGCUCGCGCUGUCCUCGCCUCCGCUGACCCCACCUCCAUGUCCUCACAGACACUAUUUUUUCACAACACAGCUCAGAUCCCACCUUCUUCAUGAGGUUAUUCAACAAACACUAUUAAACUUGUAAGAUGUACCAGAUCCUGAGUUGGAGGCUGAGAGGAGGACAAGAAAACUGCUCCCGUAGCCUAGAGGGAGGGAGAGUCGCUUAAACCACCUGAUGCAGAAUGCUGAGUGCGGAGACCAGGAGGUGGGUGCAUCACAGAGGGUCAUAAAGGACAUGAGCUGCGCAGUACAGGAGGUGGAAGGAGGGGGUCACACGAACAGAUGUCACCCGAGGCAAGUCCCCAACUCUUUCCCAGCUUUCAAAGCCUAAUUUGAUUAAUAUAGAGCAUGCACCACCUGACUAUACCUGUCAGAGCCAGAACUUACAAGUAAGACAGAAACAAUGCCUAUGGCCUUCAGUCAUGCUAAGGCACCUAUCUGACAAGCCUGCCAAACGCCAUUGAACUCUAGUAGUUUUACUAUUUACAAUGAGGACAUUUUACAACUCUUUUUAAUGGAAAAGUUAACUUGUAGAAAACUAAGCUGAAAGCUUAUUGUGUGUUAGCAAGACAAAUGUUUUUCCAGUGGGGAUAGAAGUGAUCUCGUCCUGUAAAAAUGCAAAUGGGCCAGGCAGGGUGGCUCAUGCCUAUCAUCCCAGCAGUCUGGGAAGCUGAGGUGUGAGAAUUGCUUGAGCCCAGGAGUUCACCAACCCCAACCUGGGCAACACAGCAAGAACCUGUCUCCAUUAAAACGUGUGUGUGUGUGUGUGUGUGUGUGUGUAUAAGACAAAUGACCCCUGCUUAAGGUGAGAAUCAUAACCAGCUUCCUAUCUGAUUGAGCCACUUCAUUCCCAGCGUUUCCUUUCUCUUUUCUCCCCGCUUUUGACUGUGUGUGUAGGUCACUUGCCUGCAUUCUCCUUUGAAGCACCUUUGUCAUCCCACUGUUUCCAUCAUUAAUGGGUUAAAAUGGAACUUUGACUUGUGUCCACGAUGUAUUCGUGUGCAAAUUGUGGUUCUGUUGCAUUGUGAGCAACCUACUAGUGUCUGACAUAACCUCCCUUCUGCAUCUCUCUCUGCCUGGAAGAUUGUUUUGCUGAGCUCGACUUCCUGUAAUUUGUGCAAGUUUUUUUCCAAGAAUAAAAUUAGAACUGUGACUCUGCUUUCACCUCAGUCUGAUACCUCUCCUGUGUGCUCUCUGUUUGGUCCUGAAUGAUGUGGUGGUUGCUUGGCAUGGUUGGAGGAUGGGGUGUAGGCUAACCAGCCAGGCUGUUUCCUUGAGCACAAAUUAUAAGGGCAUCAGAUACCACUGAAAAAGUUACAAGAUAAAGCUGCAUUCACUAGAACAACUGUUAAAGUUGGACUUGGGGUUAGAAGAAAGUUCUUGAUGAGUUGUUUGGGGCAGGACUGGACAUGUCCUGGUCUGCUCAGCUGCCCCUGAGGAGUAAGGACCCAGAGCCUGGAGCAUGUGUGUUGCCAAAGGAAACAAAUAAGAGAGAGACUGGGCUUGACCUGUAGCUUCCCUGCAAAACUGUGGAG